rnacentral:rRNA from 1 species
AAACGACUCUCGGCAACGGAUAUCUCGGCUCUUGCAUCGAUGAAGAACGUAGCGAAAUGCGAUACGUGGUGUGAAUUGCAGAAUCCCGUGAACCAUCGAGUUUUUGAACGCAAGUUGCGCCCGAAGCCCUUGGGUUGAGGGCACGUCUGCCUGGGUGUCACGCAAUGUUUGCCCAAACCCAAAUUGCAAUGGGAUUUGGGCGGAUGUUGGUCUCCCGUGAGCCCUCUGCUUGCGGUUGGCCCAAAAAUGAGCCCUGUUGAUGUUCUACACGGCAAUCGGUGGUGUAAAGACCCUCGGACAAAGUCGUGUGCUCUCGUCACAUCGGCAUUAAUGGCCCCAAUGCAAUCAUUGCAUGAUAUCAAAGCGACCCCAGGUCAGGCGAGACUACCCGCUGAGUUUAAGCAUAUCAAUAAGCGGAGGAAAAGAAACUUACCAGGAUUCCCUUAGUAACGGCGAGCGAACCGGGAAA